rnacentral:rRNA from 2 species
UACGUAGGGUGCGAGCGUUAAUCGGAAUUACUGGGCGUAAAGCGUGCGCAGGCGGUUUUGUAAGACAGAUGUGAAAUCCCCGGGCUUAACCUGGGAACUGCGUUUGUGACUGCAAGGCUAGAGUACGGCAGAGGGGGGUGGAAUUCCUGGUGUAGCAGUGAAAUGCGUAGAGAUCAGGAGGAACACCGAUGGCGAAGGCAGCCCCCUGGGCCUGUACUGACGCUCAUGCACGAAAGCGUGGGGAGCAAACAGG